rnacentral:rRNA from 1 species
GCAAAAAUCCUAACCCAAAUAAUUUGUAUUAUUUAACUUUUUUGCCCCUCCCCACUAAAACAUUUUACAGUUAUAGUAAAGGCGAUCGAAACAUCUUUUUGGAGUUACAUUUCUAGUACCGCAAGGGAAUAGUGAAAUAAAAAUGAAACAACUAUCAAGCACCAAAUAGUAGAGACCUCCCCUCGUACCUUUUGCAUCAUGGUUUAACUAGUCUAACCAAGCAAAAAGCACUAAAGUUUGCCCCCCCGAAACUAAACGAGCUACUUCAAGGCAGCUUCAAGAGCCAACCCGUCUCUGUUGCAAAAGAGUGGGAAGACCUUCAAGUAGGGGUGAUAGACCUAACGAGUUUAGUGAUAGCUGGUUACUUAAGAAAAGGACCUUAGUCCAACCCAAUUUUUUUAUAAUAUAUCAAGAUGAAAAUUAAAAUUUGGAGCAAUUCAAACAAGGUACAGCCUGUUUGAACUAGGACACAACCUCCGCAAACGGGUAAUUAAAUUUUUACGUAAUAAAGUAGGCCUAAAAGCAGCCACCUUCAAAAAGCGUCAAAGCCUAUUUACAAAUCAAUUGAAUCCCCCUAAUAACUAAAAACCCUUAAUCUGUAUUAAGUAAUUCUAUAAAAUUAUAGAACCUAUUAUGUUAAAACUAGUAACAAGAAUCAGAACUUCUCCUAAAUGUAAAUGUAAAUCAGACUGGACAAACCACUGAUUUUUAACACCUUGAAACUAAAGUAACAACUAAUCAAGAAAAUUUUACCUCAAAUAGUGUUAACCUGACACCAGAACAUUUCUAGAUAGAUUAAAAGGAAAAGAAGGAACUCGGCAAAUAUUAACCUCGCCUGUUUACCAAAAACAUCGCCUCUUGGUACAUAUAAGAGGUCCAGCCUGCCCAGUGACUCUGUUCAACGGCCGCG